rfam:Otolemur garnettii contig015381, whole genome shotgun sequence.
GCUUGAUGUGGUGGUAUAUACCUGUUGUUCCCAACUACUUGGGAGGCUGAGGAGGGAGGAUCAGUUGAGCCCCAAAGUUCUGGGCUAUAGUAUGCUAUGUUGAUUGGCUGUCAGCACUAAGUUCAGCAUCAAUACGGUGACUUCCCAGGAGAAGGGGACCACCUGGUUGCUUAACGAGGGAUGAAAUAAAGCAGAUCAAAACUACCAUGCUGGUCAGUAGUGGGAUCAUGCCUGUGAGCAGGCAUCACACUCCAGAUUGGGCAGCAUAGCAAGACUCUGCUGCCU